rnacentral:rRNA from 1 species
AACGCGAAGAACCUUACCUGGACUUGACAUCUACGGAACCUCCUGGAAACAGAGACUUCCCGCAAGGGACUUGAGUCGAGGUGCUGCAUGGCUGUCGUCAGCUCGUGUCGUGAGAUGUUGGGUUAAGUCCCGCAACGAGCGCAACCCUUGUCCUGUGUUGCCACUCCGUAAGGAAGCACUCGCAGGAGACCGCCAGCGAUAAGUUGGAGGAAGGUGGGGAUGAUGUCAAGUCAUCAUGGCCUUUAUGUCCAGGGCUACACACGUGCUACAAUGGACGGUACAAAGCGCUGCAAACCCGCGAGGGGGAGCUAAUCGCAAAAAACCGUUCUCAGUUCGGAUCGCAGGCUGCAACUCGCCUGCGUGAAGCUGGAAUCGCUAGUAAUGCCGUAUCAGAACGAUGGCGUGAAUACGUUCCCGGGCCUUGUACACACCGGUACUA